UCAUGCCCCAGUCCAGCCUGUUGAAGUUUGAGAACCACUGCUCCUGGGCAAGGACACUGACUUUCAGGACCUGCCUUGUCUGUUACCUUUACUUUUCAUGGCAAUCCUGUGAGAUGAAGAAAUUUUAUUCCCACCCAUCAGAGUAAGAAACUAAGGUUCAGACAGGUCACCUCACUCACUCUAGUUCCCUCUACUGGGGCGGCCUGGACUUUGGACAAUGCUCAGAUCUGAGUGCCUUGGGUGCUUGGCGCUUUCCAAUAUGAUUACCCUUCUUCCCAGCUCAGCCAGGAGAUUAACCUCUGCCAUGUCCCCUCUCCUCCCACAGCUCUUCUAGAGAAAGCCAUUCAUCAGUGCUUCAUUCAUCUGGAUGCUUGUCAAGGUCUGGGGAAACAAAGGCAACAGACUGUGAGCAUGAGGUAAGGCAGGAAGAUGACAAUGGUUCCCUGAAGGACAGGGAAGGAGGAGAAACCAGGAGCCAGAUCUUGGUCUCUACCCUUCCCCAUGAACUGCCUGGUGUCACUGCUGACAACAGCACUGUGUUUAUUUACUUCCUCCUGUUUUCUAUCCAGAGGACGGGGCCCAGAGAGGGUUUCUUCUGCCCUGGUUGGGGGCAGGCAGGCAGUGAGCCCUCCAGGAAUUAGGACCCAGCUGGGAAGGGAAGACUCACCCGUGUGAAGCAAGGAGAGGGAGGCCAUAAAGUCAAUGCUGAAACAGACACUAGAUAAAGGCUCCUGCCCGUGUUUUCCCUUCACUUCCUCUGCUUCCUGCCCGACCUUGGUGUCUCCCGAUGCAGCCCUGCAUGAGAUUCCAUGCCUCUGGGAUCUAGGGAUCAGGACAUGCUUGAGGACUGACCGGGGCAUGGAGCUUUGGGUCACUGGCACCUGGCAUAGUGCACGGGGCAGUCAGUGCCGACUGGUGUGAAUGGAAAGAACACAGAGGUGGGUGUCAGGUGAUGACGAUCCAUGUAGCUUUCCAGUCAGUGUGCAGUGUUUUCUGUCUUACCCCAUUCUGUCCUCCCUCAGACCCUCUAAGGGAGGUAGCUGUUAUUCCCACUUUACAGAUGAGAAGACUGAGGUUCGGGGAAGGGAAGGCAUUUGCCCAGCAGUCUGACCCAGGGGCUGCCUUCUGUGGAGUCUGCCACUGUCACAUUCACAAGUUUCAUUUGUCAUGUGACCGAGACUUCCUCACCUGUCAGCCUCCUCCUCAUGGCCGCUGGCUGCAUUCCAGCUCCUGAGCAAUGUGACAAAUGCCAACAGAGCCUCUCAGAGGUGAGAGCAGAGGGCUGAGGACUGGGAGGCACCGGCUGACUCCUGACCUUGCUGUGCUCCCAGCUUGAGGGAGGAGGAAGGAUACUCUCAGAGGUGACCCUUGUCGCCCUUCCCCUCUGUGUCACAAACAGCUCUCCAGAAGCCCCGAUUCAUAGCAUUUGCCAGUUUCCAUGGUGCAAGAACUCCCACAGUAUGGAGUUAGCUACCUCUGUGUGGACCAAAUGUUUGCAUCCCCACUGGACCCCCCAAAUUCCCAUGUUGAAGCCCUAAGCACCAGUAGGGCUGUAUUCAGAGGUGGGGCCCCUAAGGAAAUAACCAAGGUUAAUGAGUCAUGGGGGUGGAGGGCUGAUCCUAUAGGACUAGUGUCCUUACAGAAAGUGGCGUCAGAGUGCUGCUGUCUCUGUCUCCACACGCACCUGCUGAGGGAAGGCCUUGUGAACACAUAGCAAGAUGGCGCCGCCUACAAGCUACAGGCGGUGACCUCAGGACACAACCUACCCUGCCAAACCUUGAUCUAGGACUUCCCGCACUCCAGAACUGAGAGAAAUUCCUGCUAUUUAAGUCACCCGGUCUGUGGCAUUUCAUCAUGGCAGCCCGAGCAGACUAAUACGACUCCCGAUGUGAAGUCACUGAAUUUGAGCCAAGAAGAAAUGCACAGCGGCAGGUGCUUCUACGUUAUUCCCACCAUGCAGAUGCAACAGCAUAAAUAACGUCAAGAGCAUAGAUAAUAGUAAUACGUGGUAAACUAUGGAGGCAGAGACGAGCUUUCUUCCUUUUUAAUAUAAUUUAUUGUAAGGUUAUAUUUUUCUUCUUUUUUAGGUUUAUGUAUGUAUGUAUUUAUUUAUUUACAGUGCUGGGGGGGAGGGGCAGAGAGAGAGGGAGAGAGAGAGAAUCUCAUUAGGCUCCACACAGUUAGCAGUGUGGAACCCCAUACGGGGCUCAAACUCAUGAAUUUUGAGAUCAUGACCUGAGCGGAAACCAUGAGUUGGAGGCAUAACUGACUGAGCUACUCAGGUGCCCCAGGUUAUAUUUUUUUCUUGAUUAAAAAUUAAGGAAACAUUUUUAAAUGUUUAUUUUUGAGAGAGAGAGCACACGAGUGGAAGAGGGGCAGAGAAAGAGAGAGGGGGACACAGAAUCCGAAGCAGGCUCCAGGCUCUGAGCUGUUAGCACAGAGCCUGACUCAGGGCUCAAACUCAUGAACUGUGAGAUCAUGACUUGGGCCAAAGUUGGCGGAUUAAGUGACUGAGUCACCCAGGCGCCCCUUGAUUAAAAAUGUUUUAUUGUGUUAAUGCAUACUUAACAAAAACUUACCAUUUUAGCCAUUUUUAAGUAUACAGUUCAGUGGCAUUAGGUACAUUUAUACUGUUGUGCACAUAUUUAAUAUUUAACAGUGGCUGUGUUGAGAAAGGACUCACAACAUUCCCCCAAAUUAACAAUCAGCUCCAGUACGUUUCCCUCUGUGGGAUCCCCUUUAUCCAUGGUCAUCAGGUGGCUUAGCAAAUUCAGAAGAAAAAUCCAGGAAAUGCUUUUGUUGAUGUGCAUUUCACAGAAUUCAAAUUUAAGGUGAAUUAUCAUGGACACAUAGUCCUCCUCCUUUUUUCCUUCCUUUAUUUGAAAUAUGUUUUUAGUGGCCUGAGCUGAGCACAUUCUUACAAGGCCUGAACUGGCCAACGGAUCUCAGCUGAGGCGACACUUUGGUUCAUGUCAGCCUCAAACUUCAUGUCAUUCACUGCGUGUCACUGGCCCCUGGUACUGAUGUGUUUUUGGUUUGAAAGUGUUUUGGUGUGGACGGGUUGUGCCCCCUCUGAAGGCUCUAGGGAAGGAUCCUUCCCGCCUCUCCCAGUUUCUGGAGCUCAAAGCAGGCUUCGGGGUCCUGGGCCCGUUGAGGCACCACGCAGUCUCUCCCUCCCAUGUCUGCCUUCCAGCGUGACGAUUGGCUUCCCUAUAUUCCCUGUUCAGAUGCAGAGUGGCUGCCGGCCCUGGUGGCCCUGGUCUUUCACUGGAGCAUAAUUACUGUGAUAAAGUGGUUACCAGUGCAUCUUGGACAACACAAGCUGGGAUGAGGGUGAGACCCGGGAGACCCGAGAGAGGGAGUUUGCAUCUGAGAAGAGUGAGUGUGGGUGGUGACCCCCAUAAGGACCCCAGGUGGAAGAGGCUUCUCCAGAGUCUGGGGGUAAUAGCUGCAAACGGCUCCCAGGCACACACCCUGUCACGGGCCUUUAUUAACUCGUGGUGUCUAUAGAAAUGUAAUUAUUCGGUGCCAGCAAAAGGCCAGAGUACAAUCAGAGCCCUGUGCCUUAUGUCUAAAUAUUUAAGUUAUCAUAACUUGGCAAAUAAUAUCUCUCUGCCCUGAGAAGUAUGCCUUCAUAAUACAAAAUUGAGAAAUGUGUUUUUAUGCAAAUGACAGCAAAACAAAGAUAGCUGAACUGAUUAUUAUUACAGGAGCCUGGAUGUUCUGUUUUGGGUUGGCGAUAUUUGCAGAUUUUUAAAGACGUAGGGGUGCCUGGGUGGCUCAGUCAAUUAAGCAUCUUACUUCGGCUCAGGUCAUGAUCUCACAGUUCAUGGGUUCAAGCCCUGCAUGGGGCUCUGUGGAGCCUGGAGCCUGCUUCAGAUUCUGUGUCUUCCUCUCUGUCUGCCACUCCCCUGCUCAUGCCCUCUGUCUCUCAAAAAUAAGUAAACAUUAAAAAAAAAUUAAAGAGAACUACUGGGACCUCAUCAAAAUAAAGAGCUUCUGCACAGCGAAGGAAACAAUCAACAAAACCAAAGGCAACCGACAGAAUGGGAGAAGAUAUUUGCAAAUGACAUAUUAGAUAAAGGGUUAGCAAAAAUCUAUAAAGAAGUUAUCAAACUCAACACCCAAAAAACAAAUAAUCCAGUGAAGAAAUAGGCAGAAGACAUGAAUAGACACUUCUCCAAAGAAGACAUCCAGAUGGCCAACCGACACAUGAAAAAAUGCUCAACAUCACUCAUCAUCAGGGAAAUACAAAUCAAAACCACAAUGAGAUACCACCUCACACCUGUCAGAAUGUCUAACAUUAACAACUCAGGCAACAACAGAUGUUGGCGAGGAUGUGGAGAAAGAGGGUCUCUUUUGCAUUGUUGGUGGGAAUGCAAGCUGGUGCAGGCACUCUGGAAAACAGUAUGGAGGUUCCUCAAAAAACUAAAAAUAGAACUACCCUAGGAUCCAACAAUUGCACUACUAGACAUUUAUCUACAGGAUACAGGUGUGCUGUUUCAAAGGGAUAUCUGCACCCCCAUUUUUUUAGCAGCACUAUCAACAAUAGCCAAAGUAUGGAAAGAGCCCAAAUGUCCAUCUAUGGAUGAAUGGAUAAAGAAAAUGUCAUAUACAAUGGAUUAUCACUCAGCAAUCAAAAAGAAUGAAAUCUUGCCAUUUGCAACUACGUGGAUGGAACUGGAGGGUAUUAUGCUAAGUGAAAUUAGUCAGAGAAAGACAAAAUUCAUAUGACUUCACUCAUAUGAGGACUUUAAGAGACAAAACAGAUGAACAUAAGGGAAGGGAAAUAAAAAUAAUAUAAAAACAGGGAGGGGGACAAAACAGAAGAGACGCAUAAAUAUGGAGAACAA